rnacentral:rRNA from 1 species
UACGGAGGGUGCAAGCGUUAUCCGGAUUUACUGGGUUUAAAGGGUGUGUAGGCGGACUUUUAAGUCCGUGGUGAAAUCUCCGGGCUCAACCCGGAAACUGCCAUGGAUACUAUUUGUCUUGAAUAUUGUGGAGGUGGGCGGAAUGUGUCAUGUAGCGGUGAAAUGCUUAGAGAUGACACAGAACACCGAUUGCGAAGGCAGCCCACUACGCAACUAUUGACGCUGAGGCACGAAAGCGUGGGGAUCAAACAGG